GAAGAAGAAGAAUCUGCAAAUGAAGGAAAGUUUAA
rnacentral:sRNA from 1 species